AUCCUUUUGUAGUUCCUAAGUGUGAAGAAUGCGUGUUCAUGCACAGGGGUGAGAUGUGCUACCCUCAAACAUUGUUCCAUGCACAUGACCUGUCUGACA
ensembl:snoRNA